rnacentral:rRNA from 1 species
GGUUAAGUUAGAAAGGGCGCACGGUGGAUGCCUUGACACUAGGAGUCGAUGAAGGACGGGACUAACGCCGAUAUGCUUCGGGGAGCUGUAAGUAAGCUUUGAUCCGAAGAUUUCCGAAUGGGGAAACCCACCAUACGUAAUGGUAUGGUAUCCUUAUCUGAAUACAUAGGGUAAGGAAGACAGACCCAGGGAACUGAAACAUCUAAGUACCUGGAGGAAGAGAAAGCAAAUGCGAUUUCCUGAGUAGCGGCGAGCGAAACGGAACAUAGCCCAAACCAAGAGGCUUGCCUCUUGGGGUUGUAGGACAUUCUAUACGGAGUUACAAAGGAACGAGGUAGACGAAGCGACCUGGAAAGGUCCGUCGUAGAGGGUAACAACCCCGUAGUCGAAACUUCGUUCUCUCUUGAAUGUAUCCUGAGUACGGCGGAACACGUGAAAUUCCGUCGGAAUCUGGGAGGACCAUCUCCCAAGGCUAAAUACUCCCUAGUGAUCGAUAGUGAACCAGUACCGUGAGGGAAAGGUGAAAAGCACCCCGGAAGGGGAGUGAAAGAGAUCCUGAAACCGUGUGCCUACAAAUAGUCAGAGCCCGUUAACGGGUGAUGGCGUGCCUUUUGUAGAAUGAACCGGCGAGUUACGAUCCCGUGCGAGGUUAAGCUGAAGAGGCGGAGCCACAGCGAAAGCGAGUCUGAAUAGGGCGUUUAGUACGUGGUCGUAGACCCGAAACCAGGUGAUCUACCCAUGUCCAGGGUGAAGUUCAGGUAACACUGAAUGGAGGCCCGAACCCACGCACGUUGAAAAGUGCGGGGAUGAGGUGUGGGUAGCGGAGAAAUUCCAAUCGAACCUGGAGAUAGCUGGUUCUCCCCGAAAUAGCUUUAGGGCUAGCCUUAAGUGUAAGAGUCUUGGAGGUAGAGCACUGAUUGGACUAGGGGUCCUCAUCGGAUUACCGAAUUCAGUCAAACUCCGAAUGCCAAUGACUUAUCCUUAGGAGUCAGACUGCGAGUGAUAAGAUCCGUAGUCAAAAGGGAAACAGCCCAGACCGCCAGCUAAGGUCCCAAAGUGUGUAUUAAGUGGAAAAGGAUGUGGAGUUGCUUAGACAACUAGGAUGUUGGCUUAGAAGCAGCCACCAUUUAAAGAGUGCGUAAUAGCUCACUAGCCGAGUGACUCUGCGCCGAAAAUGUACCGGGGCUAAAUACACCACCGAAGCUGCGGAUUGAUACCAAUGGUAUCAGUGGUAGGGGAGCGUUCUAAGGACAGUGAAGUCAGACCGGAAGGACUGGUGGAGUGCUUAGAAGUGAGAAUGCCGGUAUGAGUAGCGAAAGACGGGUGAGAAUCCCGUCCACCGAAUGCCUAAGGUUUCCUGAGGAAGGCUCGUCCGCUCAGGGUUAGUCAGGACCUAAGCCGAGGCCGACAGGCGUAGGCGAUGGACAACAGGUUGAUAUUCCUGUACCACCUCUUUAUCGUUUGAGCAAUGGAGGGACGCAGAAGGAUAGAAGAAGCGUGCGAUUGGUUGUGCACGUCCAAGCAGUUAGGCUGAUAAGUAGGCAAAUCCGCUUAUCGUAAAGGCUGAGCUGUGAUGGGGAAGCUCCUUAUGGAGCGAAGUCUUUGAUUCCCCGCUGCCAAGAAAAGCUUCUAGCGAGAUAAAAGGUGCCUGUACCGCAAACCGACACAGGUAGGCGAGGAGAGAAUCCUAAGGUGUGCGAGAGAACUCUGGUUAAGGAACUCGGCAAAAUGACCCCGUAACUUCGGGAGAAGGGGUGCUUUCUUAACGGAAAGCCGCAGUGAAUAGGCCCAAGCGACUGUUUAGCAAAAACACAGCUCUCUGCGAAGCCGUAAGGCGAAGUAUAGGGGGUGACACCUGCCCGGUGCUGGAAGGUUAAGGAGAGGGGUUAGCGUAAGCGAAGCUCUGAACUGAAGCCCCAGUAAACGGCGGCCGUAACUAUAACGGUCCUAAGGUAGCGAAAUUCCUUGUCGGGUAAGUUCCGACCCGCACGAAAGGUGUAACGAUUUGGGCACUGUCUCAACCAGAGACUCGGUGAAAUUAUAGUACCUGUGAAGAUGCAGGUUACCCGCGACAGGACGGAAAGACCCCGUGGAGCUUUACUGUAGCCUGAUAUUGAAUUUUGGUACAGUUUGUACAGGAUAGGCGGGAGCCAUUGAAACCGGAGCGCUAGCUUCGGUGGAGGCGCUGGUGGGAUACCGCCCUGACUGUAUUGAAAUUCUAACCUACGGGUCUUAUCGACCCGGGAGACAGUGUCAGGUGGGCAGUUUGACUGGGGCGGUCGCCUCCUAAAGUGUAACGGAGGCGCCCAAAGGUUCCCUCAGAAUGGUUGGAAAUCAUUCGUAGAGUGCAAAGGCAUAAGGGAGCUUGACUGCGAGACCUACAAGUCGAGCAGGGACGAAAGUCGGGCUUAGUGAUCCGGUGGUUCCGCAUGGAAGGGCCAUCGCUCAACGGAUAAAAGCUACCCCGGGGAUAACAGGCUUAUCUCCCCCAAGAGUCCACAUCGACGGGGAGGUUUGGCACCUCGAUGUCGGCUCAUCGCAUCCUGGGGCUGUAGUCGGUCCCAAGGGUUGGGCUGUUCGCCCAUUAAAGUGGUACGCGAGCUGGGUUCAGAACGUCGUGAGACAGUUCGGUCCCUAUCCGUCGUGGGCGUAGGAAAUUUGAGAGGAGCUGUCCUUAGUACGAGAGGACCGGGAUGGACGCACCGCUGGUGUACCAGUUGUUCUGCCAAGGGCAUAGCUGGGUAGCUAUGUGCGGAAGGGAUAAGUGCUGAAAGCAUCUAAGCAUGAAGCCCCCCUCAAGAUGAGAUUUCCCAUAGCGUAAGCUAGUAAGAUCCCUGAAAGAUGAUCAGGUUGAUAGGUUCGAGGUGGAAGCAUGGUGACAUGUGGAGCUGACGAAUACUAAUAGAUCGAGGACUUAACCAU